UACGGAGGGGGCUAGCGUUGUUCGGAAUUACUGGGCGUAAAGCGCACGUAGGCGGACUGUUAAGUCGGGGGUGAAAUCCUGGGGCUCAACCUCAGAAUUGCCUCCGAUACUGGCAGUCUCGAGUGCGGGAGAGGUGAGUGGAAUUCCCAGUGUAGAGGUGAAAUUCGUAGAUAUUGGGAAGAACACCAGUGGCGAAGGCGGCUCACUGGCCCGUAACUGACGCUGACGUGCGAAAGCUAGGGGAGCGAACAGG
rnacentral:rRNA from 1 species